rnacentral:rRNA from 1 species
UACGAAGGGUGCAAGCGUUACUCGGAAUUACUGGGCGUAAAGCGUGCGUAGGUGGUUUGUUAAGUCUGUUGUGAAAGCCCCGGGCUCAACCUGGGAAUGGCAAUGGAUACUGGCAGGCUAGAGUGCGGUAGAGGGUAGUGGAAUUCCCGGUGUAGCGGUGAAAUGCGUAGAGAUCGGGAGGAACACCAGUGGCGAAGGCGGCUCACUGGCCCGAUACUGACGCUGAGGCACGAAAGCGUGGGGAGCAAACAGG